rnacentral:misc_RNA from 1 species
AAGAUUCACGGCUGUGCGCUUUGGCUGCACGUCGUAAAACCUCACACACACUGUGCACAACCUCGGUCGUGGUGUUAAUCCACCGCCUCCGCCUUUCACAUGCAACAAGCAGUCCAGAAUGUAACAAACCAUAAACAAAUA